UACAGAGGUCUCAAGCGUUGUUCGGAUUCAUUGGGCGUAAAGGGUGCGUAGGCGGCGCGGUAAGUCGGGUGUGAAAUCUUGGAGCUUAACUCCGAAACUGCAUUCGAUACUGCGGUGCUUGAGGACUGGAGAGGAGACUGGAAUUUCAUGGUGUAGCAGUGAAAUGCGUAGAGAUCAUGAGGGAAAGACCAGUGGCGAAGGCGGGUCUCUGGACAGUUUCCUGACACUGAGGCACGAAGGCCAGGGAGCAAACGGG
rnacentral:rRNA from 1 species